CGGUGGAGCAUGUGGUUUAAUUCGAUGCAAACCGAAGAACCUUACCUGGGUUUGACAUGUGCGUGUUACUGAGGUGAAAGCCGAGGGACCAUAUCUUCGGAUGUGGAGCGUACACAGGUGCUGCAUGGCUGUCGUCAGCUCGUGUCGUGAGAUGUUGGUUAAGUCCCGCAACGAGCGCAACCCCUGCAUUCAGUUGCCAACGGUAAGGCCGGGCACUCUGGAUGGACUGCCGGCGACAAGCCGGAGGAAGGUGGGAUGACGUCAAGUCAUCAUGGCCCUUAUGUCCAGGGCGACACACGUGCUACAAUGGCCGGCACAGCGGGAAGCGAGGGGGCGACCUUGAGCGGAUCCCUCAAAGCCGGUCUCAGUUCGGAUUGCAGUCUGCAACUCGACUGCAUGAAGUUGGAAUCGCUAGUAAUCGUGGAUCAGCCAAGCCGCGGUGAACACGUUCCCGGGCCUU
rnacentral:rRNA from 1 species